rnacentral:lncRNA from 1 species
CUCCGAACAGGCUCCUCGAAGAAACGCUCACCACCACCCGCCUCAGCGUAGCACAUCCUCAGACCGCGCGCCUCGAAGAUACGCUCACCACCACUCGCCUCAGCGUAGCACAUCCUCAGACCGCGCGCCUUGAAGAUAUGCUCACCACCACUCGCCUCAGCGUAGCACAUUCUCAGAAGUCGCGUUCACCGCCACUCGCCUCAGCGUAGCACAUCCUCACACCGCGUGCCUCGAAGGGAAACUCGUCGCUAAUCACAGCGUCCACUAAGGCAAAGAGCCUGAGCCCCUUAAAGGGAAAGCGACGCAAAGCCGUCGGACAAGAAGCGGUUAUUCCCGGUCGUAUGACUAUCGUCAAAGGCCUCGAGGCGGGGGACACCGCGAACAUGCGCACCCCCACUAAAACUCCCCUCGAAACCAACUCGGAAGUAGAGCUUCCCGACACCAGGAGACAAGAAGGCAUC